rnacentral:rRNA from 1 species
AUUGAACGCUGGCGGCAUGCCUUACACAUGCAAGUCGAACGGUAACGGGCCUUCGGGUGCCGACGAGUGGCGAACGGGUGAGUAAUACAUCGGAACGUGCCCGAUCGUGGGGGAUAACGAGGCGAAAGCUUUGCUAAUACCGCAUACGAUCUACGGAUGAACGCAGGGGACCGCAAGGCCUUGCGCGGACGGAGCGGCCGAUGGCAGAUUAGGUAGUUGGUGGGAUAAAAGCUUACCAAGCCGACGAUCUGUACCUGGUCUGAGAGGAUGAUCAGCCACACUGGGACUGAGACACGGCCCAGACUCCUACGGGAGGCAGCAGUGGGGAAUUUUGGACAAUGGGCGCAAGCCUGAUCCAGCCAUGCCGCGUGCAGGAUGAAGGCCUUCGGGUUGUAAACUGCGUUUGUACGGAACGAAAAGCCUUCUUUUAAUACGGGAGGGUCAUGACGGUACCGUAAGAAUAAGCACCGGCUAACUACGUG